rnacentral:ribozyme from 1 species
GUCGCUCAUGAUUGCAGCCUCCACGCGGCGAGCGACGGACAACAAUCAGUGUAAAGCUGGUUGGCUAAUGCUAAA